rnacentral:rRNA from 1 species
UACAGAGGGGGCAAGCGUUGUUCGGAAUUACUGGGCGUAAAGGGCGCGUAGGCGGCCUGCUAAGUCGAACGUGAAAUCCCCGGGCUCAACCCGGGAACUGCGUCCGAUACUGGCAGGCUUGAAUUCGGGAGAGGGAUGCGGAAUUCCGGGUGUAGCGGUGAAAUGCGUAGAUAUCUGGAGGAACACCGGUGGCGAAGGCGGGUCUCUGGGCAGUAACUGACGCUGAGGAGCGAAAGCGUGGGGAGCGAACAGG